rnacentral:rRNA from 1 species
UACGUAGGUGGCGAGCGUUGUCCGGAUUUACUGGGCGUAAAGAGCGCGCAGGCGGCUCGUCAAGCCUGACGUGAAAGCCCCCGGCUCAACCGGGGAGGGUCGUCGGGGACUGGCGAGCUUGAGGUCGGCAGGGGCUGGUGGAAUUCCUGGUGUAGCGGUGAAAUGCGCAGAUAUCAGGAAGAACACCCGUGGCGAAGGCGGCUCUCUGGGACGGUACUGACGCUGAGACGCGAAAGCGUGGGGAGCGAACAGG